rfam:Astyanax mexicanus chromosome 15, whole genome shotgun sequence.
ACCAGGCACUUUUGUAAGUUGCUCUGGAUAAAAGCAUCUGCUAAAUGCCAUGCA